GUGGGGAAUAUUGGACAAUGGGCGAAAGCCUGAUCCAGCCAUGCCGCGUGUGUGAAGAAGGUCUUCGGAUUGUAAAGCACUUUAAGUUGGGAGGAAGGGCAGUAAGUUAAUACCUUGCUGUUUUGACGUUACCGACAGAAUAAGCACCGGCUAACUUCGUGCCAGCAGCCGCGGUAAUACGAAGGGUGCAAGCGUUAAUCGGAAUUACUGGGCGUAAAGCGCGCGUCGGUGGUUUUGUAAGUUGGAGGUGAAAUCCCCGGGCUCAACCUGGGAACUGCCUCCAAAACUGCAUGACUAGAGUACGGUAGAGGGUAGGGGAAAUUCCUGUGUAGCGGUGAAAUGCGUAGAUAUAGGAAGGAACACCAGUGGCGAAGGCGACUACCUGGACUGAUACUGACACUGAGGUGCGAAAGCGUGGGGAGCAAACAGGAUUAGAAACCCUAGUAGUCC
rnacentral:rRNA from 1 species